CUGCCGUUUCCAAUCGGGCCCCGGUAAAGCCAGCCGAGCCCUCCCAGCUUCACCCGGGCUGAAUACUUUUACGGACACGACCAACUCACCAUGCAGAGUCCAAGAACCUUAAGGACACCGGAAAAGGACCCGGAGACCCGUGGUUAGUUUGGACCCGGAGGCUGAUGGGAAACAAGAGCCUGGAAACGCUCGCAGGCUGCGAGAGGGGCCACCGGGAGUGUUUCUGGCCGGCAAACUCGCCCCGCCCCUAAAAGACAUGUGCCCCGGAGACUUCUGGGAAAUGUAGUCCACAGCUGGAUAGUCUCCGGAAGUUGGAACCGGGACAGGGGGGAUGCUCCCAGCAUGCAACUCGGCUUCACCAGUCAAAGGCGGUUUUUCCGAAGAUGGCUGGGAGCUCCAGCCUUUGCUUGAGGGUCUUUGGUGUUGACUGAGAGCGAAUUAAAAGGUUCUCAGCCUUCGCUAAGGAACGCAUUCUGGAGUCUAGAACAGCCGAAGAUGGGACUGGGGUGUCUGGGGACUUAGACCUGAGCGAGCAGGGGAAUCCAGGGUGUGAGAUGAACUGUGUUAGAGAUUUUAUAUGCCGCUGUUGAAAGACAACAAGUGGUCGUGAGUGGAUAUUGUGACCAUGGAGACUUAUGGCAGUGCAAAGGCGGCCAUAAAUAAUACAGAAGCAAUCCAGCGUGGCUGUGUUCCAAUAAAACUUGAUGGAUUAUAAAA